UCCACGUUGCACAAGCCCAGCGCACGGUACCCACUGGAUAUGCCCGAGGCCUCCAGAGGAAAGGAAAGGAGGAAAAGGGACAGAAGAAAUGUUCACAGGAACUGCAUAUGGGCCUGCUACUUGUGUCAAAAUGUGACUGAACUCUCUUCCAGCAGGCUGGAGUGCAGUGGUGCGAUCUCAGCUCAUUGCAACCUAUGCCUCCCGGGUUCAAACGAUGCGUAGUAUGGCAGCAAUUAAGAUGGAAGUAAUGAGGAAAAGGAAUACUUAUCAAUGGAGAUUAGAGAGAGCCAAGGUGUGGGGAAAAGAGUGACUUCACCUUAAAUGUUAACCUGCCAUGUAACUUCUGACUAAUCCCAGGUCCAGAAAUGCCUCCAAAUGUCUCGUUGCUGUAUUACUCUUUAUGUGGAAACACCUGUUCACUGCUAUUUCACUGAACUGAAGCAGUCAAAAGAGAAUGCUCAUGAGAUCCCAUCACCACCACUUUACCGAACUACUUCCAUAUCUUACUCUGAGGGAGGUCUGAAUGCCAUAUUGUGAGCGGCCCUGCUGAAAGACCCAUGUGGCAAGGAUCUGAGAUCAUUGGCCAACAGGCUGCAAAGAGUCCUACCAACAGCCAGGCUGGUGUUCUUGGAAGUGGAUCUUCUCCUACUCUCCUACUUGAGAUGACUGCAGCCCCAGCUAACACUUCGAUUGCAGCCUUGUUAAGAUAUCACGGGCCAGACACACCCAGCUAAGUUAUGCCUGAGUUACUAGCCCACAGAAAUGAUAAGAUAAUAAAUAUUUGCUGUUUUAAGCUGCUAAGUUUUGGGUUAAUUUGUUAUACAACAAUGGAUAACUAAUACAAGUGCAGUCAUUGAUCUCAUUGAACACACCCGUAAUUCUUUGGAAAAAUGUCUACUUUCUCACCAAACUAAAAUCCAUUAAUUCCAGUAGUUAGGUGUUUGGCAAUGCCUUUAAAACGAUGCAUAGAAGUACAUGGCCAGGUCUUUAAAAUUGCGUUGCUAGACUGAAGAAGAGCUGUCUGACUUACUGGGCUUCCCACGUUCCUGCCUUCAGUUCCUGGGUUAGUGUCACAGGUUGCGGAUUUUCCACUCCAUCUCCCAGUCAUGUCUCUGGCACUUCCCCCGCUUGGCUCCUAGUAAUCAACUUUGGCUGACCUCUAACUCUCCACCUCCUGGACCACAAAAUAAACCCAAUGCUCUGAUCAUAGCUCCUCUGCAACUAUGUUUACUCCUUGGUUUGGGAUCUGCCCAGACUCUCAUUACGCCUGCCAUAGCAUUAUCCCUCUGUCCUGUACCUACGGAUGAAGCAAACCAUUGAUUUCUCCAACUAUGCUAAGUAAGAGCAAGUCAUAUUGUAAGUAAUUUAAUAAUAUAGAAUUUCUAGAGUUAUAAAAUAAUGAAGCAAUUUUAUAAAAACUAUCUUUUUAACAGGUUAAAAAAUAAAGCAAUGUCA
rnacentral:lncRNA from 1 species